CAGCCGCCACGGUAAUACGAAGGGUGCAAGCGUUAAUCGGAAUUACUGGGCGUAAAGCGUGCGUAGGCGGUUUGUUAAGUCUGUUGUGAAAUCCCCGGGCUCAACCUGGGAAUGGCAAUGGAUACUGGCAAGCUAGAGUGUGUCAGAGGAUGGUGGAAUUCCCGGUGUAGCGGUGAAAUGCGUAGAGAUCGGGAGGAACAUCAGUGGCGAAGGCGGCCAUCUGGGACAACACUGACGCUGAGGCACGAAAGCGUGGGGAGCAAAUAGGAUUAGAUACCCGCGUAGUCCCUGUCUCUUAUAC
rnacentral:rRNA from 1 species